rnacentral:rRNA from 1 species
AACGAACGCUGGCGGCAUGCCUAACACAUGCAAGUCGAACGAAGUCUUCGGACUUAGUGGCGCACGGGUGCGUAACGCGUGGGAAUCUGCCCUUGGGUACGGAAUAACUCAGAGAAAUUUGUGCUAAUACCGUAUAAUGUCUUCGGACCAAAGAUUUAUCGCCCAAGGAUGAGCCCGCGUAAGAUUAGCUAGUUGGUGGGGUAAAAGCCUACCAAGGCGACGAUCUUUAGCUGGUCUGAGAGGAUGAUCAGCCACACUGGGACUGAGACACGGCCCAGACUCCUACGGGAGGAAGAAGGGGGGAAUAUUGGACAAUGGGCGAAAGCCUGAUCAAGAAAUGCCGCGUGAGGGAUGAAGGCCUUAGGGUGGUAAAGCUCUUUUACCAGGGAUGAUAAUGACAGUACCUGGAGAAUAAGCUCCGGCUAACUCCGUG